UGAGAUGUUGGGUUAAGUCCCGCAACGAGCGCAACCCUCGUUCUAUGUUGCCAGCACGUGAUGGUGGGGACUCAUAGGAGACUGCCGGGGUCAACUCGGAGGAAGGUGGGGACGACGUCAAAUCAUCAUGCCCCUUAUGUCUUGGGCUUCACGCAUGCUACAAUGGCCGGUACAAAGGGUUGCGAUACUGUGAGGUGGAGCUAAUCCCAAAAAGCCGGUCUCAGUUCGGAUUGGGGUCUGCAACUCGACCCCAUGAAGUCGGAGUCGCUAGUAAUCGCAGAUCAGCAACGCUGCGGUGAAUACGUUCCCGGGCCUUGUACACACCGCCCGUAA
rnacentral:rRNA from 1 species